GUCAGCGUGGCAUAGUGGUUUGAGUGCCAAACUACAACUCUGGGGAUCAGGGUUCGAUUCCCAGCUUGGCCA